UACAGAGGUCUCAAGCGUUGUUCGGAUUCAUUGGGCGUAAAGGGUGCGCAGGCGGCGCGGUAAGUCGGGUGUGAAAUCUCGGAGCUUAACUCCGAAACUGCAUUCGAUACUGCCGUGCUUGAGGACUGGAGAGGAGACUGGAAUUUACGGUGUAGCGGUGAAAUGCGUAGAUAUCGGGAGGAACAUCAGUGGCGAAGGCGGCUUCCUGGCCCAAUACUGACACUCAGGUGCGACAGCGUGGGGAGCAAACAGG
rnacentral:rRNA from 1 species